rnacentral:rRNA from 1 species
AGAGUUUGAUCAUGGCUCAGAUUGAACGCUGGCGGCGUGCCUAACACAUGCAAGUCGAGCGGUAACAGGUGUAGCAAUACAUGCUGACGAGCGGCGAACGGGUGAGUAAUGCUUCGGAAUCUACCCAAUGGUGGGGAAUAACCAGCCGAAAGGUUGGCUAAUACCGCAUACGUCCUACGGGAGAAAGCAGGGGAUCGUAAGACCUUGCGCCAAUGGAUGAGCCGAAGUCGGAUUAGCUAGUUGGUAGGGUAACGGCCUACCAAGGCGACGAUCCGUAGCUGGUCUGAGAGGACGACCAGCCACACUGGGACUGAGACACGGCCCAGACUCCUACGGGAGGCAGCAGUGGGGAAUAUUGGACAAUGGGGGAAACCCUGAUCCAGCGACGCCGCGUGUGUGAAGAAGGCCUGCGGGUUGUAAAGCACUUUUAGUGGGGAUGAAAAGUGCAGAGCUAAUACCUCUGCAUCUUGACCUAACCCACAGAAAAAGCACCGGCUAACUCUGUGCCAGCAGCCGCGGUAAUACAGAGGGUGCAAGCGUUAAUCGGAAUUACUGGGCGUAAAGCGUGCGUAGACGGUUACAUAAGUCGGGUGUGAAAGCCCCGGGCUCAACCUGGGAAUUGCAUUCGAGACUGCGUAGCUAGGGUGCGGAAGAGGGAAGCGGAAUUUCCGGUGUAGCGGUGAAAUGCGUAGAUAUCGGAAGGAACACUAGUGGCGAAAGCGGCUUCCUGGUCCAGCACCGACGUUCAGGCACGAAAGCGUGGGGAGCAAACAGGAUUAGAUACCCCCGUAGUCC